rnacentral:rRNA from 1 species
UACGGGAGGCAGCAGUGGGGAAUAUUGCACAAUGGGCGCAAGCCUGAUGCAGCCAUGCCGCGUGUAUGAAGAAGGCCUUCGGGUUGUAAAGUACUUUCAGCGUGAGGAAGGUGUUAAGGUUAAUAACCUUAGCAAUUGACGUUAGCGACAGAAGAAGCACCGGCUAACUCCGUGCCAGCAGCCGCGGUAAUACGGAGGGUGCGAGCGUUAAUCGGAAUUACUGGGCGUAAAGGGCACGCAGGCGGUUAAUUAAGUUGGAUGUGAAAUCCCCGGGCUUAACCUGGGAAUGGCAUUCAAGACUGGUUAGCUAGAGUCUUGUAGAGGGGGUAGAAUUCCAUGUGUAGCGGUGAAAUGCGUAGAGAUGUGGAGGAAUACCGGUGGCGAAGGCGGCCCCUGGACAAAGACUGACGCUCAUGUGCGAAAGCGUGGGGAGCAAACAGGGAUUAGAUACC